rnacentral:rRNA from 1 species
UACGGAAGGCAGCAGUGGGGAAUAUUGCACAAUGGGCGCAAGCCUGAUGCAGCCAUGCCGCGUGUAUGAAGAAGGCCUUCGGGUUGUAAAGUACUUUCAGUCGUGAGGAAGGUGUUAAGGUUAAUAACCUUAGCAAUUGACGUUAGCGACAGAAGAAGCACCGGCUAACUCCGUGCCAGCAGCCGCGGUAAUACGGAGGGUGCGAGCGUUAAUCGGAAUUACUGGGCGUAAAGGGCACGCAGGCGGUUAAUUAAGUUGGAUGUGAAAUCCCCGGGCUUAACCUGGGAAUGGCAUUCAAGACUGGUUAGCUAGAGUCUUGUAGAGGGGGUAGAAUUCCAUGUGUAGCGGUGAAAUGCGUAGAGAUGUGGAGGAAUACCGGGUGGCGAAGGCGGCCCCUGGGACAAAGACUGACGCUCAUGUGCGAAAGCGUGGGGAGCGAAACAGGGAUUAGAUACC